rnacentral:rRNA from 1 species
UGGGGAAUAUUGCACAAUGGGGGAAACCCUGAUGCAGCGACGCCGCGUGAGCGAAGAAGGUUUUCGAAUCGUAAAGCUCUGUCCUAUGAGAAGAUAAUGACGGUAUCAUAGGAGGAAGCCCCGGCUUAAUACGUGCCAGCAGCCGCGGUAAUACGUAUGGGGCGAGCGUUGUCCGGAAUUAUUGUGCGUAAAGGGUACGUAGGCGGUCUAUUAAGUCAGGUGUGAAAGCGUGGGGCUUAACCUCAUUAAGGACUUGAAACUGAUAGACUUGAGUGAAGGAGAGGAAAGUGGAAUUCCUAGUGUAGCGGUGAGAUACGUAGAUAUUAGGAGGAAUACAGGAGGGGAAGGCGACUUUCUGGGCUUUUACUGACGCUCAGGUACGAAAGCGUGGGGAGCAAACAGG